rnacentral:lncRNA from 1 species
GAGUAGGUCUUUCAUACUUUCGAAAGUACAGAGAUCUCCGUACUUGUAAGUUGUUUUCGAUGAUAGAGCAUCCGAUUCGAUGAUCGGCUCUGUUAAAUAUAAUCUACUCUAUUAGAACUAUCUAGAAACCAAAUUUUAUAAUCUUUUGACAUUAUUUACCAAGCGAUCAAAAGAUCUCAAAAUUGACUAUUUUAAUGGUCGAUGUGGCAUGUUUUUUAGUUCAACAGUGUAGAGAUAUCCAAAUUACAUAAAAAUUUUAAAAAAAAUUCUAGUAAAUAUCAAUAGCAAGAUCAAUACUUCCGAUUUGAAAUUUGAGUCAUUUAUCAUUAUUUUUUAUAAGAUUUUUAUUUUCAGCCGUUCAUUUUGAGGCCACUUGUUCACUAGACAAAUAAAGUCAAAAAAUUAUAAAAUUUGGUUUUUAGAUAGUUUCAAUAGCGUAGAUUAUGUUUAACAAAACCGAUCGCCGAAUUGGAUGCCCCAUCAUCGAAAACAACUUACAAGUACGGAAGCCUCCGUAUUUUCGAAAACACAGAAGCCUAACUCAAAAAAUUAUAUACAAAUAACACAAAAUAAUACAUUUUAAUUAAUACAUUAUAUGCUACAAUACAUGCUAUUUUAUUUAUAAUUAUAAUAUUAAUCCGUU